rnacentral:lncRNA from 1 species
GGUCCACAUAUAUAUCCCAGAAGAUUGCUUGGUUUUGACCUUUUCCUCACGUGGUAUGGCAUCCAGUAGGGUCAGUGACAGAUGGACUUGUGCUUAAAUCUAUCUGAUUCAACAUUUCUGAGUUGCCCAACUACAUAUUUCACCACCCAGCUACUCAUCAGAUCAGUUCAGAAUCUCCCCUGCUCCAACAACAAAGUAAAAUUUCUAUUUAAGGAAUGUCAAUCAAACUGGGUUUUAUGAACUUGUUCUCCCCCACC